rnacentral:rRNA from 1 species
UACGGGGGGGUAAGCGUUGUUCGGAAUUACUGGGCGUAAAGGGCUCGUAGGCGGCCAACUAAGUCAGACGUGAAAUCCCUCAGCUUAACUGGGGAACUGCGUCUGAUACUGGAUGGCUUGGAUUUGGGAGAGGAAUGCGGAAUUCCAGGUGUAGCGGUGAAAUGCGUAGAUAUCUGGAGGAACACCGGUGGCGAAGGCGGCAUUCUGGACCAAUAUUGACGCUGAGGGAGCGAAAAAGCCCAGGGGGGGAGCCAAAAACGGGGGAUUUAAGAAAAACCCCCGUGUAGUCCCAGAACCCAAAGUCUC